rnacentral:rRNA from 1 species
CUACCCGGGUAUCUAAUCCUGUUCGCUCCCCACGCUUUCGUGCCUCAGCGUCAGUUACAGCCUAGUAAGCUGCCUACGCAAUCGGUGUUCUGGAUGGUAUCUAUGCAUUUCACCGCUACACCAUCCAUUCCGCCUACCUCGUCUGUACUCAAGCCCGUCAGUAUCCAUGGCAGUUCAACAGUUGAGCUGUUGGCUUUCACCACGGACUUAACGGGCCGCCUACGCACCCUUUAAACCCAAUCAAUCCGGACAACGCUUGCACCCUCCGUAUUACCGCGGCUGCUGGCACUCUGAG